rnacentral:lncRNA from 1 species
GAAUAAUAAAUAAUUAAACUUGAUUUAUGUAGAAUAUUCUAGAAUUAAUAAGAAACUAAAAGAAAGUAAUAGAGAAUUCUAGAAAUAGAUAAAAAAAAUCUAAAGUAUGAGAUUUGGUUAAUUAAGUCAAAGGCGGUGUAUUGAAAUCACCGACAACCAACAAUAUAUAUAUGUACUUGAUGAGUUGCAUAGUUGAUGUGAAAAAAAGCAUAAUAGUGUU